CCUACGGGAGGCAGCAGUGAGGAAUAUUGGUCAAUGGUCGCAAGACUGAACCAGCCAUGCCGCGUGCAGGAUGACGGUCCUAUGGAUUGUAAACUGCUUUUGUACGGGAAGAAACACUCCUACGUGUAGGGGCUUGACGGUACCGUAAGAAUAAGGAUCGGCUAACUCCGUGCCAGCAGCCGCGGUAA
rnacentral:rRNA from 1 species